rnacentral:rRNA from 1 species
GCCUACGGCCAUGCCACUCUGAGUGCUCCCGAUCUCCUCUGAGCUCAGAAGCUAGGUGGGAUCGGGCCUGGUGGGAAGGAUCACAAAGGUUGGUGCACCUGGCUGGGCAGGUG